rnacentral:rRNA from 1 species
CGCAGCCGCGGUAAUUCCAGCUCCAAUAGCGUAUAUUAAAGUUGUUGCAGUUAAAAAGCUCGUAGUUGAAUUUCGAGAUCGGCUUACUGGUCGUGCUUUUGUACGUACUGGUAAAUCGGUUUCUCCUUUCUGACGAACUUUAAUGCCAUUAAUUUGGUGUUUUAGGGAAUCAGGACUGUUACUUUGAAAAAUUAGAGUGUUUAAAGCAGGCUCACGCUUGAAUACAUUAGCAUGGAAUAACGGAAUAGGACGUUUGAUUCUAUUUUGUUGGUUUCUAGGAUCGACGUAAUGAUUAAUAGGGAUAGUUGGGGGCAUUAGUAUUCAAUUGUCAGAGGUGAAAUUCUUGGAUUUAUUGAAGACUAACUACUGCGAAAGCAUUUGCCAAGGAUGUUUUCAUUAAUCAAGAACGAAAGUUAGGGGAUCGAAGACGAUCAGAUACCGUCGUAGUCUUAACCAUAAACUAUGCCGACUAGGGAUCGGAUGAUGUUAAUUUUUAAUGACUCAUUCGGCGCCUUACGGG